AAAACGACUCUCGACAAUGGAUAUCUCGGCUCUCGCAUCGAUGAAGAGCACAGCGAAACGCGAUACUUGGUGCGAAUUGCAGAAUCCCGCAAACCAUCGAGUCUUUGAACGCAAGUUGCGCUCGAGGCCAACCGGCCGAGGGCACGUCUGCCUGGGCAUUAAGC
rnacentral:rRNA from 1 species